rnacentral:rRNA from 1 species
GAUGAACGCUGGCGGCGUGCCUAAUACAUGCAAGUCGAGCGAACGGACGAGAAGCUUGCUUCUCUGAUGUUAGCGGCGGACGGGUGAGUAACACGUGGAUAACCUACCUAUAAGACUGGGAUAACUUCGGGAAACCGGAGCUAAUACCGGAUAAUAUUUUGAACCGCAUGGUUCAAAAGUGAAAGACGGUCUUGCUGUCACUUAUAGAUGGAUCCGCGCUGCAUUAGCUAGUUGGUAAGGUAACGGCUUACCAAGGCAACGAUGCAUAGCCGACCUGAGAGGGUGUUCGGCCACACUGGACCUGAAACACGGUCCAGACUCCUACGGGAGGCAGCAGUAGGGAAUCUUCCGCAAUGGGCGAAAGCCUGACGGAGCAACGCCGCGUGAGUGAUGAAGGUCUUCGGAUCGUAAAACUCUGUUAUUAGGGAAGAACAUAUGUGUAAGUAACUGUGCACAUCUUGACGGUACCUAAUCAGAAAGCCACGGCUAACUACGUG